ensembl:lncRNA
GCGACUUGUAAUUCCCCACCUCCAAGCGGGAAAACGCAAAGCAAACGCACCCUCAACUUGAAAUCGCCAUUCGUCGACAGUGGGAAGUCUUCUCAUCUACCAGUUCCUUCCCUGUUCAUCGAGUGACGUCGAGUCGGCAUGACGGAUUCAGAACUCACAAAGUGGCACUUACCUCGGUGGUUAUUUGCUUUAGAUCAGGGUUGUCCAGUCUUCUCCAGAAUGGGCCAGUGUGGUUGCAGGUUGUCAUUCUAACCAAGCAGAAGCCACACUUUAGUCUAUUGAAAGCCAAGAUCAGCGGAUCCAACAAUUGGAAUCAGGUGUGGCUCCUGCUAGAUUGGAACGAAAAGCUGAAGAUUGGACAACGCUGCUUGAGACCAAUCAGCAUAUAGACAUAUUUGCUUAUUAA